rnacentral:misc_RNA from 1 species
GAUGAAGAACGUAGUGAAAUGCGAUAAGUAGUGUGAAUUGCAGAAUUCAGUGAAUCAUCGAAUCUUUGAACGCACAUUGCGCCCCUUGGUAUUCCAUGGGGCAUGCCUGUUCGAGCGUCAUUUGUACCUUCAAGCUUUGCUUGGUGUUGGGUGUUUGUCUCGCCUUUGCGUGUAGACUCGCCUUAAAACAAUUGGCAGCCGGCGUAUUGAUUUCGGAGCGCAGUACAUCUCGCGCUUUGCACUCAUAACGACGACGUCCAAAAGUACAUUUUUACACUCUUGACCUCGGAUCAGGUAGGGAUACCCGCUGAACUUAAGCAUAUCAAUAAGCGGAGGA